rnacentral:lncRNA from 1 species
GCCCUUCUCUCCCCGCCUUUCCCGAGGCCCCUAUGCCCAAGAUCCUCUUUCUCCAAUCGUAGUCUUCCUCCGGCCUCCUCUCUCAGCUCCUUCCUCCCUCCACGUUCUGUCCCGUCUACCCCCUCCAAGUUACCCCCUCCCGCAUCUACCCCCACCCCGUCUUCUCCCUGGUCCUCGUACUGCAGUUCGCACGCGUCGUGGUGCUGGUAGCCUGGGCUAGUGCAGAUGCCGCCGUGGUCGCUCGCUAUCCCUUCCCUGCACAUUCGUUCACUCUGGCUCUGGGCGGUGACUUCCGAGAUUUCGCCGGCGCCUUUCCUUCUUACUUCUGCUUCGUGCAUCCGGGGGCAACGGGGGGAGAUGGGAAACCUGGAUGAACUCUGCUGCAUCUCUUGAGAAAGUAGCAGUGUUUGGAGGUUUCAACUGCUGGACCGAAAACUGCAAUGUACUGCUUCUCUUCCUGGAGACAGCAAGUCUUUGGGCAUUGUUACCUCACAGGCUCAUAGCAAAAACUCCUUGUGAUGCCACUUUUCUGAAUCCUUCUGGUAUGGUGGACUCCAACCUCAGUCUGGAUCCAAGGAGUGUCUUCCAGAUACCAGGAGUCACAAGGGAUACUUGGUGAGCCUACUUCUGACCAUGAGUGUCUCAGGGCUGAUGCGAUGUAAAUAGAAGAUUUUUUGUCUGCUGAGGAACCAGAAGGACUGGUGAGGAACCAGAAGGACAAGAGAUCCAGAGCCAGAACUGAUUUUUCACCCAAAGGAUCAAUAUGCCCUUCCUUCGUUCCCUCUUCUUUUGUGUUUUCUUUCAUGGUAAACGCAUGUAAAAGCAAAAACUUACAAUAGUAGCUAGGUAUCUCAGUGGAUAGAGGACCAGAUCUGGAGAUGGAAGAUCCUGGGUUCAAAAUUGACCUCAGAUACUUCCUAGCUGUGUGAUCCUGAGCAAGUCACUCAACCCCAAUUGCCUAGCUC